rnacentral:rRNA from 1 species
GACGAACGCUGGCGGCGUGCUUAACACAUGCAAGUCGAACGGAAAGGCCCUGCUUUUGUGGGGUGCUCGAGUGGCGAACGGGUGAGUAACACGUGAGUAACCUGCCCUUGACUUUGGGAUAACUUCAGGAAACUGGGGCUAAUACCGGAUAGGAGCUCCUGCUGCAUGGUGGGGGUUGGAAAGUUUCGGCGGUUGGGGAAGGACUCGCGGCUUAUCAGCUUGUUGGUGGGGUAGUGGCCUACCAAGGGUUUGACGGGUAGCCGGCCUGAGAGGGUGACCGGGCACAUUGGGACUGAGAUACGGCCCAGUCUCCUACGGGGGACAGCAGUGGGGAAUAUUGCACAAUGGGCGGAAGCCUGAUGAAGCAACGCCGCGUGCGGGAUGACGGCCUUCGGGUUGUAACCCGCUUUCGCCUGUGACGAAGCGUGAGUGACGGUAAUGGGUAAAGAAGCACCGGCUAACUACGUG